GAACCCUUGGCACAGUGGUAGCGCGUGAGAUUCCAGCUAGCGGGUCUUUCCGUUCAAGGGAAAUCCUCAAGGUCGUCCGUUCGAUCCGGGCAGGGUUCA